ACAUUCGUAGUGGUUUUAUGUAAAACAUUAUACAUAUUAAAAAAAAUAAAAAAAUGUACAUGUAUAAUUUGAUCAAAAAUUGCAUGCACAUUGAUAAUGUAAAAAAAAAAAAAAAAAGCAAUACUAUAAAAACGCAUUAGAAACCACUAAUACAAUUAAAAUAUGUUUAUUUGUAAAUGGCGUUACUUAUGUUAUUAUUUUUAACUUUUCAUAACAAAAUAUAUUUACAUUUACAAUUAUUGUUUGUGUUAUAAUUUUAAUUUGAAAAAAUUUUAGUUUGUAACUAAAUAUAUAAAAAAUAUUUGAUAGUUUUAUAUUACACAUAUUGUCAUACGGAGUAAAAUAUAUUUGUAAAGCUAUAUAUAUUUUUGUCAUUUAUCUGUACAAUUAGAAAAGCAUAAUUGAGCAGUAUGGCAGAAGGAAAUCCACAAGAAAAUAAUAAUAAUACACCAAGUUUAACUACAUUUCUUGAAGAGUUAACUAAUGGAACGGAUGGUACUUUACAGGAUGUGGAUAGUAACCAAACGAUUAUUUCGACACAUCAUCGAAUUCGUAAAGACUUAACAGAUAAUCCGAAUGCUAUGCAACUAACUGGCUUAUUCAUCUAUAAGAUGCAAGCAUUUGUAGUGUUGCUAGCGAUUAUUGUAUUUAUUAUUUGUGUGCUUCUUAUAUUUUGCGAAAGAUGCAGAGUAAGAUUAAUAAAAAAAAUUAUGUAAUAUAUAUUUAUACAUUCUUCAUUUGUAUAUAGUUACAUAUAAGUAGUUGCAUUAUUAUAUAAUAAUGAGUUUUGCAUAUUUUUUUUUUUAUAACAGAGACAUUGUCAUAGAUUAAAACAAGGACGUAGAUCAGGAUGUGGUCGUCGUAGACGACGAUAAACUCGCUCGAUAUGGUAACACAACAAACAUAAGGAUUUAUUUAAUUAAGCAUCAUUAUGUGUGUGAAAAAGCGUAGUACGCUAAAACUUCAAAUAAUAGCACAAAUUUAAAUUCAAUUAUUUUGUGAUUUUUGAAAUUGUAAAAAUAUGCAAACAGUAAAAAUGUUUCCAUAUAUUAUUAAUUUAUAUGUUAUGUGCAUUUUUAACAUUAUUAGCAAUUGAUAUAACAAGUUUAAG
rnacentral:lncRNA from 1 species